GACGAACGCUGGCGGCGUGCUUAACACAUGCAAGUCGAACGGAAAGGCCCUGCUUUUGUGGGGUGCUCGAGUGGCGAACGGGUGAGUAACACGUGAGUAACCUGCCCUUGACUUUGGGAUAACUUCAGGAAACUGGGGCUAAUACCGGAUAGGAGCUCCUGCUGCAUGGUGGGGGUUGGAAAGUUUCGGCGGUUGGGGAUGGACUCGCGGCUUAUCAGCUUGUUGGUGGGGUAGUGGCUUACCAAGGCUUUGACGGGUAGCCGGCCUGAGAGGGUGACCGGCGACAUUGGGACUACGGUACGGCCCAGACGCCUACGGGAGGCAGCAGGGGGGAAUAUUGCACAAUGGGCGGAAGCCUGAUGCAGCAACGCCGCGUGCGGGAUGACGGCCUUCGGGUUGUAAACCGCUUUCGCCUGUGACGAAGCGUGAGUGACGGUAAUGGGUAAAGAAGCACCGGCUAACUACGUG
rnacentral:rRNA from 1 species